UCCUCUCUUGAAGUCCACCUUUAAGUUACCC
rnacentral:piRNA from 1 species